GACAGCCACUUAAAAGAAGGUGUCAUAUUGUGGGAGGGUUUCUGCCCACCAGCUCAAAAGCAGCCUCUUCGGCUCCAUAUACUGUCAAAUGGUGAUUUUUCAGAGUACAAAUCAUGACAGUGGUUUCAUUCCGUGCCUACCCUUCCUGUAUCCUUUUAUUGGAAAGUUUGACUGGCUGAACUGCAUGAAUGGCCCUGUUACUCAGAGCAGCAGCCUCUGCACGUCAAAACUUCUCUGCUCCUCUCUUGUCAGGUUGUCAUUCACCAUCAUGGUGCACCUAGUUCUGGUUUUACCAACAGCAAUGGAAAUACUUCUACCAACUUUACUGUGUAAAGAACCAAAUCCAACAUACAGGAACUGAAUUCUCUGUCUAAAUAGAAUUAUUAUGUUUUGCACUUGUUUUUCAUUUUUACAUGUUUUUUGAUAAUAUAUAUAGUAUUUUGCCAGAAGAACAGCAACCUAUUUAUAUCACUUAUCCAGAUAGAACAAAAGCACUGCAUUCUGCCAGCUAUUUGAUUAAGAGAGUUAAAAUUAGAUUUUCUGUUUCCAUUGGAACUUCAACUUCUCCUUUCACUUUUGUAUCGCUACAACAAUACUGACUUCAAGUGAGCCAUUCUGAUUUUUUGUUAAUGCAAUUAAAUGGACAAGGAGACCAGAAUCACUGUCCCACACAGCUAAGGAGAAGAGAAGCAGAGAACCUUGAUGCUGUAUAAUUAUAAUAGCACUAGCAAUUGCAAACAAUAGUAAAAGAGAUGACAUAGCCUAUUCCAAAACCAGCUAACACAGUGUAUAUAAUAUCCAGCCAUCUGCUUUCUGAUUUAAUAACAACCCUUUCUCUCCUAAUAAAAUCCAUUAUUUAAAGUUUGUAAAGAUAUUUCUAGAGAAGUUCCCUUAUUACUCUCUUUUAUUAUGGGAGUAAUGAUUCCAUGUACUACUACUGUGUUGCAGAUGACAGUUUCUCCAUCUCUGUUUCAUCUUCGUAGGCUGUGUAAAGACCAAGCCUGUCAUGGAUGGUCAGUCCUUACUAAUGUUUUGCAACAAUUUGGACAGUAUGAGUAUUACACGGCUGCAAUCCCAAGUCUUGAGGUUUGGAUAUAUUCUGAAAUACCAAUACAGUUAUUUAAACCAACUGAAAUAGUUUCUGUUGCUCAGAGGCUCCUUUUGGUUUUCGUCAUUAUUGGGAUUUCCUUCUCCUUGACUUCUAACAGCUUCCUUCCUUGCUAUUUUUUUUUUUCACACCUACACGAAGAUUUCUGCUUUCCUAAUACACCCAUCAAAGAAAUUACUUUUGUGACAGAUGUUACUCUUAAAAUUCUUCCUCUAUAUCUAUUGCUCCUGGUCUGUGAGUGUUCAACAUGUUACAGGUGUGCAUCUCUAGCCCAAGAAAGGUCUGCGAAAGAACUUCUAAAAGGAAAACUACAGUGUAGAUAAGCCAGAUAAACAUUUUACUUUUUUUUUUAAAAAAAAAUAUGAAAUUCAGAAUCCAAGUAUCUAUGCAGCUUCAGGAAACUGGGAACUAAAUUCACACUCCUUAGUUGAACCCACUUAAUGAAAAUUUUGGUGAACUUGCUAUGGAGUAGGAGGAUAUAAAAUUACCUUCUGAUCCUGACUUUCAUUUGAACAUUUAGCCAUAUCCAGUAACAUAUCCUCCAGGGCAGUACUGAACACUGAAGCAAUAUAAACUUGAUAACUUAACAUCUGGAUUCUUAAGUUCACAUUUUUGGAACCAGUUUACAUACAGAGCCCUCUAAAUAGUUUAACUAAUGGUUUUCUUCAUAUUGCAUUGUUAAAUACAGAAUUUAUUUUGAGGGCUUUUGCAUUUUAUUAGAGAAACACACAAAACUUCCCUCUUUUAAUGCAUUCUCCAAACCUGUGGACCACAGCUCUUAAUUUUAGAGGCUCGACCCAGUAAACACUAACUAAUGCCAUCUCGUGGUAAGUAAAGAAAGUACAAAAACAAUUAAUACACAUACUUUGUCAUACCCUCUAUAGUUGUGCAGCAAAUAUUCCCUUUUUUUCUCUUGCUUUUUCUCUGCCUCUUCAUGCAUGCCAUUUGGUUACAGUUCAAAGUCUACCUCAUGUCUGAAGAGACACUGAAACAGUUGAAAAACGUUCAUUAAAACAAUAAUUCAAGUGAUCUUCAGAAACAUGAACAAUCUGUAAUAUCCACCAUGAUCAAAUUAAAAUAGGAAAUAUAGAGCAAAGAGUUACGUUUAUCAGACUACGCUGAGCUACAGCUUGCUUCCUUGACAUGUGUAAGCUAAAAGCCCAUUAUGGAAAGUUUCUGUUUUGCAUAGGCAUCACUGUGGUAGCAUCAAGUUUGGCAAAGAGACACAUGCUAGAUUUUCAGUAGAGGCUGUGAUACUUACUGAUCCACACGUUCCCUGAAGCACUGUGCCAAAAUACCCUAUCAAUGCCCAAAUACGUUAUUAUUGCAGUGUAGAAGGAAAAGACUGUUUCAUCUUCUUAAAGCUUCUCCUUCUUUCUAUUGAACUGGUAUUCUUUCUUUUUUUUCAAACAUGUGGCAUUAGUCAUAUGGUCGGCCUUGCAAACCACUAUGAACUCACAUGCUGUUCUAAGAAACUGUCGCCCAAGCAGUUGGCUCACAUUCCAUAUUUGUGCAGCAACUAAUUUCAGUCUUUGGAAUUUAUUUUCUUUUUUUUUUUUUUCUCUUAAAACAGUUGUCCAAUUUAUCAAGAUUAUUUUGCAUUCUGGCACAGUUCUCCUAUAUACUGGAAGCUCUAGCUUUGUCACAUACAAUUAUCAUAUUGGCUGCAAACAGAAGAGAGCACAGACUAUUAUCACAAAUUUUACAAAACCUAAAAUACUACAUUGUCUUUGAAGAUGACCAGUUUUCCCCCAGUUUUUCAGAUGCCGAAAAAUGAACCCUCAAUUUAGAGGAGACUCUUUAUACAAAUUUACAAAACUUCCUCUUGGCAGUUACGUCUACUCAUAACUAAACCUGCUUGUUAGCAAGAGCAGGUUUAAAGAUUUCUUUAGCUUCCCCAAAUUGAGUCUUCUUUGCACUGCAAGGUUUCACUCUAGUGAUUCUGCUUAUCUCUGAAUUUGUUCCCUAUAAACAGAAAACGGGAUACUGUACUAUUGAAGGGGUAGAUUGUGCAAGAAGAUGCUGGUGUACUACAAGUAUGUUUGCAAGAGACCUGUUUCAUUAUUUCCUCAUAUUUGCUAUGACAGGACUCAGGAUUACAAAACUGAACACUCUUCUCACACACCGUGACCAGUAGUCCACAGUCACUUUCAGCUGUAUUUUGUAGGGCUGGAGUUUGCUGUUUGUUGUUGUUGUUUUGGUUUGUUUUUUUUCCAAUAAAACAUGACAUAUCCAGCCUUAGCUACAAAGACUGUUUUUUAAUUUGGCUUUUCAUUCAAAAACGUGGACUAAUUUAAAAUCUUCUGGGGUUUGUUUUGUUUUGUUUUGUUUCAUUUGUUUUGUGUCAGAUAUAUUGUAUUUGUACUGCUCCUUUUUUUUCUUUUUUCAGCCUUGUUAUUUCAAUGUUGACUAUGUACUAUAGUAAAGAAUGCUCUAUUAUUACAUUGCAGGUGGAAAGAAGCUAGGGUUUAGUGGUGGCAGAAUAUUUUUCGUGUGGUUUCCUUACCCAGUUAGCCUCCUCAUACAUCAUUUGUCAUGAUGUCACAAACUACAAAGUUGCUUGAUAUAUUCAAAUAUUUCUAAGGAAGAAAUACCUUACAGAAGUAUGUAAAUAAACAAAAAUAAAUCUUUCAUAUUAUAUACAACUUCCAGUCCAGUCAGCUGGAAUUGUCUCAGUAUCCAUAAGCCUAACAAAACAUUCUUGCUUCCCAGGAUGUACAUAUAUGUGUGUGUAUGAGUAUACAGGUGUUCUAUGUUUUUAUUGUAUGUAUGUAUAUGCCUCAAGAAAUACUUUCUAUAGCAUAUAGACCAUUUUGAUGUAAAAAAAAUUAAUAUAAAUGGAACAUUAUUUCUUGGAUACUUUUCUUAGGAAAUAAUGAAAACUAUAUCAAAGUAUAUGUCUGAACUUUUUUUCAUUUGCUUUUGUAUUUCAAAGAUGUUUCUAGGAAGAGCUGAACGUUUAUGUAUUUUGUAGUUAAUUCUUGUCCAGUUCUGAAAUAAUCGGAAGAUGAAUGAGUAGAAUUUCCUUUCUAUAUAUAAACAUUAUUGCCAGGUAAGAAUAGCAGAUGGCCUGUGGGAACAUCGACUUACCCUUGCAGUACGAAUCAUAACACUAAGGUUUUCUGCAUAGUCACCUCUUUCAGUAACCAAUAUAAUGUAUGUUUGAUGAAAAUAUUUUCAAAGACAGAUUCGUGAAAAGCAUGCCCUUGUAAAGAAAUGUUUCAUGCCAUCAUCAACUAUUGCUGAAGGAUUUUCACAUGUACGUGAUAUACAAUGUUUAAUUGUAUACAGAACAAGUUAAAGCUUGGAAUUAUUUUUUAUCUUGUAACAGGAUAAAAAGAGGGAAAUGUGAUGUGAAAAAUAACUGGAAAAUUGAAUUAUCUACCUAAAAGGCUGUUUUCUUUUGUGGCUUCCAUUUGUAUUUGAAAAGAGAUCUGUGUAUACAGAUUAAACCAUUCAGGAAAUAACAUACAUCACUGAAGUACUGCAAAAGAGUUCAUAACCCUAAAAAUGAUUAGUGAUUUCAGAGCUCACUCUGUCACAGAGGGAUAUUUUCUUCUAUGUUUUGGGUUUUUGUUUGUUUUGUUUGGUUUGGUUUGUUUUGGUUGUUGUUGUUUUUUAAAGACAAUGACAGAUUCUACACCACAAAUCAGAAAUAAAUAAGUUCUUAGAAUA